UACGAAGGGGGCUAGCGUUGCUCGGAAUCACUGGGCGUAAAGGGUGCGUAGGCGGGGCUUUAAGUCAGGGGUGAAAUCCCGAGGCUCAACCUCGGAACUGCCUUUGAUACUGGAGAUCUUGAGUUCGGAAGAGGUUGGUGGAACAGCUAGUGUAGAGGUGAAAUUCGUAGAUAUUAGCUAGAACACCAGUGGCGAAGGCGGCCAACUGGUCCGAUACUGACGCUGAGGUGCGAAAGCGUGGGGAGCAAACAGG
rnacentral:rRNA from 1 species